GACGAACGCUGGCGGCGUGCUUAACACAUGCAAGUCGAACGGAAAGGCCCUGCUUUUGUGGGGUGCUCGAGUGGCGAACGGGUGAGUAACACGUGAGUAACCUGCCCUUGACUUUGGGAUAACUUCAGGAAACUGGGGCUAAUACCGGAUAGGAGCUCCUGCUGCAUGGUGGGGGUUGGAAAGUUUCGGCGGUUGGAGAUGGACUCGCGGCUUAUCAGCUUGUUGGUGGGGUAGUGGCUUACCAAGGCUUUGACGGGUAGCCGGCCUGAGAGGGUGACCGGCCACAUUGGGACUGAGAUACGGCCCAGACUCCUACGGGAGGCAGCAGUGGGGAAUAUUGCACAAUGGGCGGAAGCCUGAUGCAGCAACGCCGCGUGCGGGAUGACGGCCUUCGGGUUGUAAACCGCUUUCGCCUGUGACGAAGCGUGAGUGACGGUAAUGGUAAAGAAGCACCGGCUAACUACGUG
rnacentral:rRNA from 1 species